AGCGAACGCUGGCGGCAGGCCUAACACAUGCAAGUCGAACGGACCCUUCGGGGUUAGUGGCGGACGGGUGAGUAACACGUGGGAACGUGCCUUUAGGUUCGGAAUAGCUCCUGGAAACGGGUGGUAAUGCCGAAUGUGCCCUUCGGGGGAAAGAUUUAUCGCCUUUAGAGCGGCCCGCGUCUGAUUAGCUAGUUGGUGAGGUAAUGGCUCACCAAGGCGGCGAUCAGUAGCUGGUCUGAGAGGAUGACCAGCCACAUUGGGACUGAGACACGGCCCAAACUCCUACGGGAGGCAGCAGUGGGGAAUCUUGCGCAAUGGGCGAAAGCCUGACGCAGCCAUGCCGCGUGAAUGAUGAAGGUCUUAGGAUUGUAAAAUUCUUUCACCGGGGACGAUAAUGACGGUACCCGGAGAAGAAGCCCCGGCUAACUUCGUGCCAGCCGCCGCUGUAACAC
rnacentral:rRNA from 1 species